rnacentral:rRNA from 1 species
AACGAACGCUGGCGGCGCGCCUAAUACAUGCAAGUCGAGCGAGAAGGUGUAGCAAUACACUUGUAAAGCGGCGAACGGGUGAGGAAUACAUGGGUAAUCUACCAUCGAGUGGGGAAUAACCAACCGAAAGGUUGGCUAAUACCGCGUACGCCUCCGAGUCUUCGGGUUCGGAGGGAAAGCUGCACUGUGAGUGUAGCGCUCUUUGAUGAGCUCAUGUCCUAUCAGCUUGUUGGUAGGGUAACGGCCUACCAAGGCUUUGACGGGUAGCUGGUCUGAGAGGACGAUCAGCCACACUGGCACUGCGACACGGGCCAGACUCCUACGGGAGGCAGCAGUAAGGAAUCUUGCGCAAUGGGCGAAAGCCUGACGCAGCGACGCCGCGUGGAGGAUGACGGUUUUCGGAUUGUAAACUCCUGUUAAGCGGGAGAAAGCCUUGUUUCUAAUACAAGCAAGGUAUGACGGUACCGCUAGGAAAGCACCGG